rnacentral:rRNA from 1 species
UACAGAGGGGGCAAACGUUGUUCGGAAUUACUGGGCGUAAAGCGCGUGUAGGCGGCUUGGCAAGUCGGGUGUGAAAGCCCUGGGCUCAACCUAGGAAGUGCACUCGAAACUGCCUCGCUUGAAUGCCGGAGAGGAAAGCGGAAUUCUCGGUGUAGAGGUGAAAUUCGUAGAUAUCGAGAGGAACACCGGUGGCGAAGGCGGCUUUCUGGACGGUGAUUGACGCUGAGACGCGAAAGCGUGGGGAGCAAACAGG